GAUGAACGCUGACAGAAUGCUUAACACAUGCAAGUCGAUGGGGAAGUGGUGCUUGCACCAUGGCAACCAUGGCGGACGGGUGAGUAACGCGUAAGGGACUUACCUGCAGGACUGGGAUAACAGGGGGAAACUCCUGACAAGACCGGAUAAUGUCAUGGAUCUGCAUGGCUUUAUGAUGAAAGGAGACGCCUGCGGAGAGCCUUGCGUCCUAUUAGCUAGUUGGUGGGGUAAUGGCUCACCAAGGCGAAGAUAGGUAGCCGGCCUGAGAGGGUGGACGGCCACAAGGGGACUGAGAUACGGCCCUUACUCCUACGGGAGGCAGCAGUGGGGAAUAUUGGACAAUGGGGGCAACCCUGAUCCAGCAAUUCUGUGUGCACGAAGAAGGUUUUCGGAGUGUAAAGUGCUUUCAGCAGGGAAGAAGUAAGUGACGGUACCUGCAGAAGAAGCGACGGCUAAAUACGUG
rnacentral:rRNA from 1 species